rnacentral:rRNA from 1 species
GGAAUUACUGGGCGUAAAGCGCACGCAGGCGGUCUGUCAAGUCGGAUGUGAAUCCCCGGGCUCAACUUGGGAACUGCAUUCGAAACUGGCAGGCUUGAGUCUUGUAGAGGGGGGUAGAAUUCCAGGUGUAGCGGUGAAAUGCGUAGAGAUCUGGAGGAAUACCGGUGGCGAAGGCGGCCCCCUGGACAAAGACUGACGCUCAGGUGCGAAAGCGUGGGGGGCAAACAGGAUUAGAUACCCUGGUAGUCCACGCUGUAAACGAUGUCGACUUGGAGGUUGUGCCCUUGAGGCGUGGCUUCCGGAGCUAACGCGUUAAGUCGACCGCCUGGGGAGUACGGCCGCAAGGUUAAAACUCAAAUGAAUUGACGGGGGCCCGCACAAGCGGUGGAGCAUGUGGUUUAAUUCGAUGCAACGCGAAGAACCUUACCUACUCUUGACAUCCAGAGAACUUAGCAGAGAUGCUUUGGUGCCUUCGGGAACUCUGAGACAGGUGCUGCAUGGCUGUCGUCAGCUCGUGUUGUGAAAUGUUGGGUUAAGUCCCGCAACGAGCGCAACCCUCGUCCCAUGUUGCCAGCGGGUAGUGCCGGGGACUCAUGGGAGACUGCCGGGGUCAACUCGGAGGAAGGUGGGGAUGACGUCAAAUCAUCAUGCCCCUUAUGUCUUGGGCUUCACGCAUGCUACAAUGGCCGGUACAAAGGGCUGCGAUACCGCGAGGUGGAGCGAAUCCCAAAAAGCCGGUCUCAGUUCGGAUUGGGGUCUGCAAC